rnacentral:rRNA from 1 species
AUUAAACGCUGGCGGCAUGCCUUACACAUGCAAGUCGAACGGCAGCGGACCUUCGGGUGCCGGCGAGUGGCGAACGGGUGAGUAAUGCAUCGGAACGUACCUUUCAGUGGGGGAUAACGUAGCGAAAGUUACGCUAAUACCGCAUAUUCUGUGAGCAGGAAAGCAGGGGAUCGCAAGACCUUGCGCGGAUUGAGCGGCCGAUGUCAGAUUAGCUAGUUGGUGAGGUAAAGGCUCACCAAGGCGACGAUCUGUAGCGGGUCUGAGAGGAUGAUCCGCCACACUGGAACUGAGACACGGUCCAGACUCCUACGGGAGACAGCAGUGGGGAAUUUUGGACAAUGGGGGCAACCCUGAUCCAGCCAUGCCGCGUGAGUGAAGAAGGCCUUCGGGUUGUAAAGCUCUUUCGGCCGGGAAGAAAUCGCACGGGCUAAUACCCUGUGUGGAUGACGGUACCGGAAUAAGAAGCACCGGCUAACUACGUGCCAGCCGCCGCGGUAA